AGACCUUGGUUUCUAUAGGACAAAAGGUGAGCAACAUUAUUUUUUUUUAAAGAUUACAAUUAGUGAUAUUCCAGAUCAAACUUCAAAGUAAGUUCAUCAAAGUAUGUACUGUAUAUGUCGACAUAUACUACCUUGAGAUUCAUUUUCUAGCAGCAAUUACAGGAAAAUAAAGAAAUAUAAUAGAAUUUAUGAAAAUCUAAAAGUAACUAUAAUGCAUGUGCAGAAGACAAAUAGUGCAAAUAAUAAUUUAAGUAGUAAAUAAUUGAUACUAAGUUGUAGAGUCCUUUAAACUGAGUGCACAGAUAGUGGUGUCAGCUCAGUGCUGAGGUGGGUGAAGUUAUCCAUCCUGAUUCAGCAGCCUGAUGGUUGUGGAGUAAUAACUAUUCCUGAAACUGGUGUUUGUUUUUAACUGAACAUGAGCCCGAGGGGAAAUUUUAAAACUUCUGCUUUACAUGUUAGAUCAUGUAUUUUAACUCACAUCAUGGAGAUGUGCAUAUUAGGAAAUUCAUUUAUCCCGGAGUGGGAGAGCACAUAUAGUGAAAGGACACUGAGUAAAGUCCAUGGAUCAGGCUGGUUAAAAAAUAACUGAAGGUAGUAGCGGGAAUCAGAAUCAUGUUUAGUAUCACUGGCAUAUGUCAUGAAGUGUGCUGUUUUGUGGCAGCAGUACAUUGCAAUACAAUAAAAAUCUAUAAGUUGUAAUAAGAGAUUAUAUUAAAAAUAUAAAUUAAGUAGUGCAAAAAGAAAAAAAGCAAAUAGUGAGCCAGUCUACAUGGGUUCAUUCUCCAUUCAAAAAUCUGAUGGAGGAAGGGAGGAAGGAGUUCUAAACACUGAGUGCCAGCCUUUAGGCUCCUGUAUCUCCUCCCUGAUGGUAGCAAAGAGAAGAGGGUAUAUCUUUUGUGAUGGGGGCCCUUAAUGAUGGAUGCUGCCUUUUUGAAGCAUUGAUUGCCCUUUGAAUAUAUGUCCUCAGUGCUGGGGAGGCUAGUGCCUGUAAUGGAGCUCGCUGAAUUUGCAACUUUCUGCAGCUUUUUCUAUUCCUAUGCAAUAGUUCCUCCAUAUCAGACAGUACGCAAAAUACAUCGACCUAAGUAAAUUGUUUUGUAAGUAAAUUUUUUUUUUUAUUUCACCAUUCAAAAAUAAUUAGUUCACAAGUAUCCUUAAUAUCAAUAAUGGAUAAAGCAAAGAUUAAAGUAUCAGACUUCAUUCCAGCUGCAAUUUAAAAAAGCCUGCACUCAAAGUUCUGGUUUCUUCCCUCUUCCUUUGGACUCGACCCAAAAGGUCGACUGUUCAUUUCCGUCCAUAGAUAAUGCAUGACCUGCUGAUUUCUUCUAGCAGCUUGUGUGUAUUGCUGGAGAACUAGUACUGGAUGAUAAAAAAAAAAAUGAAGGGCCAUGUAGGAGGUAAAGGUUAGAACAGAGGUACCCAACCCUUUUUAUGCCAUGGACCAAUACCAUUAAGCAAGGGGUCCUUGGACCCCAGGUUAGAUUGAUCUUAGAGUAGGUUAAAAGGUUGGCACAACAUCCUGGGCUGAAGGGCUUUUUAUGUUCUAAUUGUGCUUUUGACAAUGCUAUUCCAUAUUUAAAAUGCAGUCAUCUUCCUGAUGUGGAGGACUGAUCAGGUACAUCCUAUUAAUGUCUCUUCUUCGGAUGUCCAUUGAUUUCCGAUGAUGACUGGGGCUUGGGCGGGGUUGCAUGGAAGACCUGCAGUUGCCCAUGCUGCAAGUCUCCCCUCUCCAUGCCACUGAUGUUGCCCAAGGGAAGGGCAUUAGGACCCCUACAGCUUGACACCAGUGUCGUCCUAUUAAUCCUAUUAAUGAAAAGUAAAUCAAUUCCAACAUCCAUCAUCAAAGACCUCCACAAUCCAGGUCUUGCCCUCUUUCCCUCAACUACUGUUGGGCAGGAAGUACAUAAGCCUAAGUGCUACAAGACCAGCUUCAGGAACAGUUAUUACCCUUCAACCACCAGGCUCCUAAACCAGAGGGAAUAACUUCAAUCACGACCCUGAACUGAUUCUAUAUCCUACAGCCUCACUUUCAAGGAUUCUUUACAGAUCAUUUUGUCAGUAUUAUUUUUUUAAAUUUGCACAAUUUGUCUUCUUUUGCAUAUUGUCUUUAUGUACAGUUUUUGCAAAAAUUAUAUUUUUUAUUUUCCUGUAAAGAAAAUGAAUUUCAAGCUCAUAUACAUGGAUAAAUGUGAACAUACCCACUUUGGUUCUAGAAACAGAGAGAUGAUAGUGGAAGAUUGGGUAAGCAGGAGAUGCAGUGAAAUCUGUGUAGAAGCAAUUAUUAAAGAUUAAACUGAACACUAAGAAAAAUUAAAAGCAAUCGGGCAAAGUCAAUGCCACUUUUUCCAAAAAGGAAAUCAUGUUGACCAAUUAAUUAGCAUACAACAUACGUAUAAGACGGAAAGGGGUGGGGGUGAUCGCCAGAGGCUUUUUCCCAGGGUUGAAAUAGCUAACACGAAGUGGCAUAGUUUUAAGGUGCUUGGAGAUGGAUAGCGAGGGUAUAUCAGCGUCAACUACAGACUAUUCCGUUUGAAUUUUCCAAAUCCACCAUCUCCACUGACAAAGAAGAUAAACAUGCGGACACCAGCAUUUGCAGAGUCCCCUAUUAGAGAAAUGGUUUACCUUUGCCUUCUGGAUAGUGUCUUUACGAGACGGGUGAUCCCAGCGAUUAUCAAUACUCUUCGGAGAUUGUCUGCCCAGCGUCAGUGGUCGCGUAACUGUUCAUACGGCCAGCCACCACCUGCUCCCGUGGCUUCACGUGACCCUGAUGGGGGCGGUUUGUGCGAGGAUGACUUGCAAGCUAGCAGAGGGAAGCGGCACCUGACAUCUCCUUUGGUAAAGACAUAUCUUUACCCCGACACAAAAACGUACAUGUAUGUCACUAUAUGCUAACCUGAGAUUCAUCUUCCUGCAGACAUUCACAGUAAUUACAAAGAAACAAUAGAAUUAAUAAAAAACUGCACACAAAGAUUGACAACCAAUAUGCUAAAGACAACAAAUGGUGCAAAUACAAAAAUUAAAAACAAAACAAUAAUAAUAAAAAUUGAGAACAUGA